rnacentral:rRNA from 1 species
UACGAACUGUGCGAACGUUAUUCGGAAUCACUGGGCUUAAAGGGUGCGUAGGCGGUUUCUUAAGUCAGGUGUGAAAUCUUCCGGCUCAACCGGAAAACUGCGCUUGAUACUGGGGAACUUGAGUGAGGUAGGGGUGUGUGGAACUUCCGGUGGAGCGGUGAAAUGUGUAGAUAUCGGAAGGAACGCCAGCAGCGAAAGCGGCACACUGGGCCUUUUCUGACGCUGAGGCACGAAAGCCAGGGGAGCGAACGGG